rnacentral:rRNA from 1 species
GACGUAGGGCGCGAGCGUUGUCCGGAUUUAUUGGGCGUAAAGAGCUCGUAGGCGGCUUGUCGCGUCGAAUGUGAAAUUUUAGGGCUCAACCCUGACAUUGCAUUCGAUACGGGCAGGCUUGAGUUCGGUAGGGGAGACUGGAAUUCCUGGUGUAGCGGUGAAAUGCGCAGAUAUCAGGAGGAACACCGGUGGCGAAGGCGGCUCACUGGCCCGGUACUGACGCUGAGGCGCGAAAGCGUGGGGAGCAAACAGG